GGGACACGUGGUAUCCUGUCUGAAUAUGGGGGGACCAUCCUCCAAGGCUAAAUACUCCUGACUGACCGAUAGUGAACCAGUACCGUGAGGGAAAGGCGAAAAGAACCCCGGCGAGGGGAGUGAAAAAGAACCUGAAACCGUGUACGUACAAGCAGUGGGAGCCUCUUUAUGGGGUGACUGCGUACCUUUUGUAUAAUGGGUCAGCGACUUAUAUUCUGUAGCAAGGUUAACCGAAUAGGGGAGCCGAAGGGAAACCGAGUCUUAACUGGGCGUUAAGUUGCAGGGUAUAGACCCGAAACCCGGUGAUCUAGCCAUGGGCAGGUUGAAGGUUGGGUAACACUAACUGGAGGACCGAACCGACUAAUGUUGAAAAAUUAGCGGAUGACUUGUGGCUGGGGGUGAAAGGCCAAUCAAACCGGGAGAUAGCUGGUUCUCCCCGAAAGCUAUUUAGGUAGCGCCUCGUGAAUUCAUCUCCGGGGGUAGAGCACUGUUUCGGCAAGGGGGUCAUCCCGACUUACCAACCCGAUGCAAACUGCGAAUACCGGAGAAUGUUAUCACGGGAGACACACGGCGGGUGCUAACGUCCGUCGUGAAGAGGGAAACAACCCAGACCGCCAGCUAAGGUCCCAAAGUCAUGGUUAAGUGGGAAACGAUGUGGGAAGGCCCAGACAGCCAGGAUGUUGGCUUAGAAGCAGCCAUCAUUUAAAGAAAGCGUAAUAGCUCACUGGUCGAGUCGGCCUGCGCGGAAGAUGUAACGGGGCUAAACCAUGCACCGAAGCUGCGGCAGCGACACUAUGUGUUGUUGGGUAGGGGAGCGUUCUGUAAGCCUGUGAAGGUGUGCUGUGAGGUAUGCUGGAGGUAUCAGAAGUGCGAAUGCUGACAUAAGUAACGAUAAAGCGGGUGAAAAGCCCGCUCGCCGGAAGACCAAGGGUUCCUGUCCAACGUUAAUCGGGGCAGGGUGAGUCGACCCCUAAGGCGAGGCCGAAAGGCGUAGUCGAUGGGAAACAGGUUAAUAUUCCUGUACUUGGUGUUACUGCGAAGGGGGGACGGAGAAGGCUAUGUUGGCCGGGCGACGGUUGUCCCGGUUUAAGCGUGUAGGCUGGUUUUCCAGGCAAAUCCGGAAAAUCAAGGCUGAGGCGUGAUGACGAGGCACUACGGUGCUGAAGCAACAAAUGCCCUGCUUCCAGGAAAAGCCUCUAAGCAUCAGGUAACAUCAAAUCGUACCCCAAACCGACACAGGUGGUCAGGUAGAGAAUACCAAGGCGCUUGAGAGAACUCGGGUGAAGGAACUAGGCAAAAUGGUGCCGUAACUUCGGGAGAAGGCACGCUGAUAUGUAGGUGAAGUCCCUUGCGGAUGGAGCUGAAAUCAGUCGAAGAUACCAGCUGGCUGCAACUGUUUAUUAAAAACACAGCACUGUGCAAACACGAAAGUGGACGUAUACGGUGUGACGCCUGCCCGGUGCCGGAAGGUUAAUUGAUGGGGUUAGCGGUAACGCGAAGCUCUUGAUCGAAGCCCCGGUAAACGGCGGCCGUAACUAUAACGGUCCUAAGGUAGCGAAAUUCCUUGUCGGGUAAGUUCCGACCUGCACGAAUGGCGUAAUGAUGGCCAGGCUGUCUCCACCCGAGACUCAGUGAAAUUGAACUCGCUGUGAAGAUGCAGUGUACCCGCGGCAAGACGGAAAGACCCCGUGAACCUUUACUAUAGCUUGACACUGAACAUUGAGCCUUGAUGUGUAGGAUAGGUGGGAGGCUUUGAAGUGUGGACGCCAGUCUGCAUGGAGCCGACCUUGAAAUACCACCCUUUAAUGUUUGAUGUUCUAACGUUGGCCCCUAAUCGGGGUUGCGGACAGUGUCUGGUGGGUAGUUUGACUGGGGCGGUCUCCUCCUAAAGAGUAACGGAGGAGCACGAAGGUUGGCUAAUCCUGGUCGGACAUCAGGAGGUUAGUGCAAUGGCAUAAGCCAGCUUGACUGCGAGCGUGACGGCGCGAGCAGGUGCGAAAGCAGGUCAUAGUGAUCCGGUGGUUCUGAAUGGAAGGGCCAUCGCUCAACGGAUAAAAGGUACUCCGGGGAUAACAGGCUGAUACCGCCCAAGAGUUCAUAUCGACGGCGGUGUUUGGCACCUCGAUGUCGGCUCAUCACAUCCUGGGGCUGAAGUAGGUCCCAAGGGUAUGGCUGUUCGCCAUUUAAAGUGGUACGCGAGCUGGGUUUAGAACGUCGUGAGACAGUUCGGUCCCUAUCUGCCGUGGGCGCUGGAGAACUGAGGGGGGCUGCUCCUAGUACGAGAGGACCGGAGUGGACGCAUCACUGGUGUUCGGGUUGUCAUGCCAAUGGCACUGCCCGGUAGCUAAAUGCGGAAGAGAUAAGUGCUGAAAGCAUCUAAGCACGAAACUUGCCCCGAGAUGAGUUCUCCCUGACCCUUUAAGGGUCCUGAAGGAACGUUGAAGACGACGACGUUGAUAGGCCGGGUGUGUAAGCGCAGCGAUGCGUUGAGCUAACCGGUACUAAUGAACCGUGAGGCUUAACCUU
rnacentral:rRNA from 1 species